GCCUGGGGGGUGGUUCAGUUGGUAGAGCAUCCUAGGGUCAUGGGUUUGAGCCCCACAUUGGGCA